GCCUGAUUAGGGGCUGAGGAUGGCCCAGG
rnacentral:piRNA from 1 species